ACAAUAUAUUCAUUUGAUAUAUAUAACUUUUUUGGUUAUAUAUAUUCAAACAACAAACGUACUUGAAUUUAAAGUCAAUAUCAUUUUUUAAAACAACAAAAAAUAUUAAAACCAAAGGUGUUGGAUAAAACCAAACUGUUAAUUUAAUUAUAUAAAAUAA
rnacentral:misc_RNA from 1 species